rnacentral:rRNA from 1 species
GAUGAACGCUGGCGGCGUGCCUAAUACAUGCAAGUCGAGCGAACGGACGAGAAGCUUGCUUCUCUGAUGUUAACGGCGGACGGGCGAGUAACACGUGGAUAACCUACCUAUAAGACUGGGAUAACUUCGGGAAACCGGAGCUAAUACCGGAUGAUAUUUUGAACCGCAUGGUUCAAAAGUGAAAGACGGUCUUGCUGUCACUUAUAGACGGAUCCGCGCUGCAUUAGCUAGUUGGUAAGGUAACGGCUUACCAAGGCAACGAUGCAUAGCCGACCUGAGAGGGGGAUCGGCCAAGCUGGAUCUGAGACACGGCCCAGACCCUUACGGGAUGCAGCAGCAGGAGAUCUGCCGCAACGGGCGAAAGCCUGACCGAGCAACGCGGCCCGAGUGAUGAAGGUCUUCGGGUCGUAAAUCGCUCUUAUUAGGGAAGAGCUUAUGUGUAAGUAACUGGGCAGAUCGCGACGGUAGCUAGCCAGAAAGCCAGGGUUAACUCGGU